rnacentral:rRNA from 1 species
AGAGUUUGAUCAUGGCUCAGAGCGAACGCUGGCGGCAGGCCUAACACAUGCAAGUCGAGCGCCGUAGCAAUACGGAGCGGCAGACGGGUGAGUAACGCGUGGGAACGUGCCCUUCGGUUCGGAAUAACUCAGGGAAACUUGAGCUAAUACCGGAUACGUCCGAAAGGAGAAAGAUUUAUCGCCGAAGGAUCGGCCCGCGUAAGAUUAGCUAGUUGGUGAGGUAACGGCUCACCAAGGCUCUGAUCUUUAGCUGGUCUGAGAGGACGAUCAGCCACACUGGGACUGAGACACGGCCCAGACUCCUACGGGAGGCAGCAGUGGGGAAUAUUGGACAAUGGGCGCAAGCCUGAUCCAGCCAUGCCGCGUGAGUGAUGAAGGCCUUAGGGUUGUAAAGCUCUUUUGGCAGGGACGAUAAUGACUGUACCUGCAGAAUAAGCCCCGGCCAACUUCGUGCCAGCAGCCGCGGUAAUACGAAGGGGGCUAGCGUUGCUCGGAAUCACUGGGCGUAAAGCGCACGUAGGCGGGUUGUUAAGUCAGGGGUGAAAUCCUGGAGCUCAACUCCAGAACUGCCUUUGAUACUGGCAAUCUUUGAGUCCGGGAGAGGUGGGUGGAACUGCGAGUGUAGAGGUGAAAUUCGUAGAUAUUCGCAAGAACACCAGUGGCGAAGGCGGCUCACUGGCCCGGUACUGACGCUGAGGUGCGAAAGCGUGGGGAGCAAACAGGAUUAGAUACCCCGGUAGUCC